UACGAGAGGCCCAAACGUUAUUCGGAAUUACUGGGCUUAAAGAGUUCGUAGGCGGCAUGAAAAGUAGGGUGUGAAAGCCCUCGGCUUAACCGAGGAAUUGCGCUCUAAACUGUCGUGCUUGAGGACCUAGAGGUGAGCAGAACAGAUGGUGGAGCGGUGAAAUGCGUUGAUAUCAUCUGGAAUACCGGAGGCGAAGGCGGCUCACUGGGGGGUUUUCUGACGCUGAGGAACGGAAAGCCAGGGUAGCGAACGGG
rnacentral:rRNA from 1 species